rnacentral:lncRNA from 1 species
UUAUAUCCAUGAUCCAGAGUAACAAACCCAUGUACUUUAAACAACUGAAGCAACUAUUGGAUAAAAUAUGGAAACUGGAAGAUGGGACUAGAAGCAACCUCCUUUACUGUAUAAAUCCACCUAUUCACCAUAAAUCAAGAAAAAACACAUUUGAGUGAAGGUAACAAAAUAUCCAUACUGUCUGUGAAGAUCAACUGCCAAAGUAGUGUCUCAAUAACAAUUUCCAAGUUAGGGCACAAGAGCAACUCCUGAUGACAUCUUGUCGGUUCUCGUGUGAACAUGGGGCCAGCACCCCUGCCAAUGCAGUUAAUGUUUUCUGGCUGAGGUCACUAACAUCUGGUUUGUGUACAGGCAGCUUGUGCUGCUCAGUGUUGCACGGGAACAGAGGCAUCACAGGAUGUCACAGAGGAGCACGGGUUUAGUGUUUGUGAGUAACCUCAAGUAAUGCCUGAUUUGUGGGGUUGCAAAACACAGAUGGAAACAAGCAUGAGAUUCCACAAAAUAGGAAGAGGUAGUCAGUCCUAUGGGGCAAAGCCUAAGAGAGCGCAAACAAUGAGAGAAGACAGAAGAGGAUGGAAUAGAAGUGUGCUUCCACCUAUGACUGUGCCAGCUUGGCCCAGAAUAACAAUCCAGUAUCAAAGCCAGGGAAGAGCACUGCAGAGCCAACAGAAGAUAACCAGACUGGCUGGAGAGGGAUGUACUGGAGUUGAGUGCUACAGCACUGGAACAAGACUAAAGGAGAGGAUUUCACAGGGACAAAUCUGAAAGAGCCAGCAACUGGCUGUGAGGCACACACAACACAAACCCACUCAAAUACAAGGGGCAUCUCUCAUGUUGCACCCAAAAUUUGACUCCAUCUCAUAACAGUUUGCUAUUCCUGGUCUUCACAGUAAACUGACAUCAACACUUAAUCAAAAAUCCAAAGCUAGAGAAAAUAAUAUUUACAUUAAAGAGGUCAAUCCCACUUCUUGUCAUGUCUUCUGUGUUUUACUUUAUUUUUUAUUUUAAUAGUUUUUCAUUUUAAUCUUGUGUUCCAAAUGUGGGUUAUGGCAAGACAACAGGAACUUGAAUUGCUAUGCAUAAUUCAUAGUAAAUAAAAUAAAUUUAAAA